rnacentral:rRNA from 1 species
GAGGAGAAGACUAACAGGAUUCCCCUAGUAACUGCGAGUGAAGCGGGAAAAGCUCAAAUUUAAAAUCUGGCGGUCUUUGGCCGUCCGAGUUGUAGUCUGGAGAAGUGUUUUCCGUGCUGGACCGUGUACAAGUCUCCUUGGAAUAGGGCGUCAUAGAGGGUGAGAAUCCCGUCUUUGACACGGACUGCCAGUGCUAUGUGAUGCGCUCUCAAAGAGUCGAGUUGUUUGGGAAUGCAGCUCAAAAUGGGUGGUAAAUUCCAUCUAAAGCUAAAUAUUGGCGAGAGACCGAUAGCGAACAAGUACCGUGAGGGAAAGAUGAAAAGCACUUUGGAAAGAGAGUUAAACAGUACGUGAAAUUGCUGAAAGGGAAACGCUUGAAGUCAGUCGCGUUGUUCAGAACUCAGCCUGGCCUCGGCCUGGUGCAUUUUCUGUUCGACGGGCCAGCAUCAAUUUUGAUCAUUGGAAAAAGGUCUCGGGAAUGUGGCAUCUUCGGAUGUGUUAUAGCCCUUGGCUGCAUACAAUGGUUGGGAUUGAGGAUCUCAGCACGCCUUUAUGGUCGGGGUUCGCCCACGUUCGUGCUUAGGAUGCUGGCGUAAUGGCUUUAAACGACCCGUCUUGAAACACGGACCAAGGAGUCUAACAUGCCUGCGAGUGUUUGGGUGGAAAACCCGAGCGCGUAAUGAAAGUGAAAGUUGGGAUCCCUGUCGUGGGGAGCACCGACGCCCGGACCAGACCUUCUGUGACGGUUCCGCGGUAGAGCAUGUAUGUUGGGACCCGAAAGAUGGUGAACUAUGCCUGAAUAGGGUGAAGCCAGAGGAAACUCUGGUGGAGGCUCGUAGCGAUUCUGACGUGCAAAUCGAUCGUCAAAUUUGGGUAUAGGGGCGAAAGACUAAUCGAACCAUCUAGUAGCUGGUUCCUGCCGAAGUUUCCCUCAGGAUAGCAGAAACUCAUGUCAGAUUUAUGUGGUAAAGCGAAUGAUUAGAGGCCUUGGGGUUGAA